rnacentral:rRNA from 1 species
ACGGGAGGCAGCAGUGAGGAAUAUUGGUCAAUGGACGAGAGUCUGAACCAGCCAAGUAGCGUGAAGGAUGACUGCCCUAUGGGCUGUAAACUUCUUUUAUAUGGGAAUAAAGUUUUCCACGUGUGGAAUUUUGUAUGUACCAUAUGAAUAAGGAUCGGCUAACUCCGUGCCAGCAGCCGCGGUAAUACGGAGGAUCCGAGCGUUAUCCGGAUUUAUUGGGUUUAAAGGGAGCGUAGGUGGAUUGUUAAGUCAGUUGUGAAAGUUUGCGGCUCAACCGUAAAAUUGCAGUUGAAACUGGCAGUCUU